rnacentral:lncRNA from 1 species
GAUCUGGAUGAUGUGUUGGAGAAAGCCAAGAAGGCUAACAUUGUGGCCCUUGUAGCAGUUGCUGAACAUUCAAGAGAAUUUGAAAAGAUUAUUCAACUUUCAGAAAGAUGCUACUUUAAUUACGUUUUUAAAGGGUUGCUAAUAAGGACACGGUUAUGAUGUUAGAUGUAUAAUAUCAGACACCUAUUUUAGAGGGUGAAGAGGAAAAAACCUAUUAACAUAGCCCUGAAAAGAGAUUGUUUUCUGCUGUUUCUUCAGAAUGACAUCAUAGUCUCCUUGUCUAUUAUUCCUCUUACUUUUUUCUCCAUGUUUAGGUAUAGUGGGGUCAUCCUGCCAUGCUUAGGUGUUCAUCCAGUGCAGGGGCUUUCACCAGAAGACCAAAGAAGUAUCACAUUAAAGAGAGGAUAUUUCAUUUCCUUCUGUCAAAUACCUGGACAGCAGCCCUCCAGAGUCAUCAGCAAAUUUCUAGAGCUCCUUGAGGACCUCCUGCUGGUCUGUAUCCUGCACUCCUCUUACUUUCUUUCUAGGUUUAUCUUUACUACUAGGGUGCAAUAAGAUAGGCUUUAAAAGGGUCCCAAACUUGAGACAGACCUGGAAUACAACCUUUUUGAAAUUUUUUCAUGGUGAUCACAUCCCAAAUGACAUCAUUCAACAUCUUGUUAGUUCUUUGGUGCAUUUGAGAAGAUUUCUUUAAAAUCUUUCAAGCUUUUUUAGUUGUUCUCAGUAGGAGAAUUGAUCCAAUUUACUUACUCUAUCAUUUCUAGAAAUGGAAGUUCUACACAAUCAUAAUAGUUAAUACGAAUUUGCUCUCCCAAAUGGCUUACUUACCUUCUCACUGUGGGCACCAUUUCCAGUGAUGAAAGAUACUUACUUUCUUGUGCAUAUCUUUCUGUACACUUGGCCUUUUGUGCUAUGGACAUAUAUUAUGGAUUAAACCAUUAAAAAUAAAAAGUCAAUUAUCAUUAAUUUGGAAAGUAGUUUGCUUUCAGGAAACAAAAUCAAAUGCUCUAAUAGCUUUAGUUUGCUUCCUUGUGUCCUCUCUGAUUCAAUAUUGAAUGAUUGUUAUGUCAGCCUAGACAUUGUUUUAUGGAUGAUGAUGUCUGCCCUCACCCAGUCUAAAGUGGUUAGUGUCAUCAGAUUAGAAGGAUCAAAAGAUCACAGUGGAUGGGAAGAAUUCAAGCAGGAAGUCCUAAUGUAGAGAAGAGAAGUGAUUAGUUUGUUUGUUGGAAUGAGGAAAUGAUGUUUUCAAUUCUUUCCCCGCUAAAGGCAUUCUUGUACUUAAAAAAAAAUUCAAAUUAGGAGAGUAUGCCAGCAGUGUCAGUGCUAUGGGGUGCAGUCUUAUAAAUCUCAUGCUAAAUUUUAUUCAGUACAGUAUAUGAAAACUCAAGAUGGAGACAGUGGCGUUUGCCUGUAGCCCAGGGGCUGAGGCACAGGUUGGAAGUUCAUGCCUUGCCUGGCAACUCAGUGAUUUAGCAAGACCUUGUCUCAAAAUAAAAAUUAAAAAAGGAGCUGGAAAGUAGCUCAGUGUGAAGGCUCUGGGUUCAAUCCUCAGUGCUGAAGAAAGAAAAGAAAAUCAAAUGUCUAGGAUUAUUGAAAUACAGCAUGUGCAAAACUAGGACAGAUUCCCAUUUAUCCAAGACAGUGUUGUACGGCGGUCUUCUCACACAGAAGGGUGGCUCCGAAGUAUUUCAGCCACUUUGCCCUAGUGACUCUGUAAGUAGAACCAAGAUAUCCCUUUCCAAAAGAUGGAUGCACCACUCUAUUAUGUCUGUGGAAAAACUGCUUAUUUGGUGAAUAUGCUCUAAAAAAUAAAACAUUAUUUUGGAAAAUGAUCUAUCGUCAAUUCUCAAAAUUUGCUUUCUUUUUCUUCAGGUAUUUUUUAAAAGGUGAUAUUUAUAAUUAGGAAUUAAUUAUUUGAAAGACUGAUACCUAAUACAUGCCCAAUAUUUGUUAUUACAAUAGUUUUCCCUUAUCCACGGGGAAUACAUUCCGAGAACUCCCCCGGUGAAUGUCUGGACACAUGGCUAGGUACUGAAACUUUAUAUAAACUAUGUUUUCCUAUACAUAUGUAUCUAUGAUUAAGUUUAAUUUACAAGUUAGACACAGUGAAGGAUUAAUAAUAGGACAAUUAUAGCAAUAUACUGUCAUAAAAUUAGAAGAAAAUAGUCUCUAAAAAUGUCAUUACAUUUUCACCUUUUUACUUACAGGAUAUACUUUAUGGUUUCUCUUUGGCAUAUACAGAUUGCUAGCAUCCCACUGUUCAUGUAUUUUGGGACCAUUAUUAAAUAAAAUGAAGUAUCUUGUUUUGUUUUGGUACCGGGGAUCAAACUAGGGACCUUGCACUUUCAAGGCAGGCGGUGGAACCACUAAGCUAAAUCCUCAGCCCCAAAAUGGCAUGUCUUAAACACAAGCACAACAAUACUGAGACAGCUGAUCUGACACCUAGAUGUCUACUAAGUGAACACAGGGUCAGUGGGGUAUACUGUGGGUAUGCUGGAUAUAGGACAAGCCACACACUACAUAGGAAAAAGCAGAAUAAGAGAUUUCAUCACUUUGCUCAGAAUCACAAGCAAUUUAAAACAUAAAUUGUUUGAAUUUUGCAUUUAACAAAUUUAGACGAUGGUCAACCAGUAGUAACUGUAUAAUAAUACAGUAAUUCCCCCUUAUCCAUGGGACUACUAGAUUAUUAUUCGUAAUACAUUUACUUUGAAUCUGGAAAAUUUUAUAUUCUUAGUAACAAUUUCUAUUUAGUAGUUGGAUCAUAAGCUUUUCAAAAUAUAUCAAUCUUUGAUUUAUAGUCAUAAUUAAAAUGCAAUGACCCUUAAAAGACCUAUCAGUUAAGGACUUGGCCCUGUAAUAGAAUCUAAGAAGUCAUUUGGAGUUAGACACCACAAAACAGCAUGGUGUCUGUCUUCAGUGGUCACUCUUUUUACACUUACUGGAAGAUUUUUUAACUUUUGUAUAAAUGCCAGAAGAAUUCUAGACUAAAAUUUAAAAUAGUUUACAAGAUGAGUGUGGUUCAUUUAUAACAGGCCUAGUUUGACACAGUUGCUUUAAAUAGGUUUGUCUGUGGAUUGAAAAGUAUUAUGUGGAAAAUAAUGAAAGGUAAUAAAAUUAACUUUAUAUUGACCCAGUAGAAAAAAUAGAAGUCAGUGUUUGAGAACUCACUUGUCCUCUAUCACCCCCAGGGGAUUUCAACCCACAUAGGGAUCUCAGUAUUCUUUAGAUAAGAAUUUUAAGGGCCCUUAAUGUUUCUUUUUUAUGGGGGAGGUACCAUGCAGGGCUAGAGGCAGGGGAAAGGUGAGGUGGAGGGGAAGAGUGAAAUAGAAACUACUAUUAAAAGAUUCAAAGCAGCAAAUUCCAGAAAACAUUUCUAUAUUUUUGUUCUUAUAUUUAUAUAUAAGACAUAAAUAUAUAUUUUUAUAUUUUUAAACAGGAUAGCAUUUGUGACUUCUUAAUCACUUGUCUUCUACUUUCUAACUUUAAAAAACAGACAACAGCCACCCCCGCCCAUGGAUAUAAAUGAAAGGACUCUCUAUUGUUACUCUAAGUUUUCACAGGUCCUCUAACAUUUACUACCUUUGCCUUUGCUUCACUGAAAUCCAGGCAAAAACACAGAAAAGACAUAUCUGGAGGGAUAUGACUUUUAGAAUUAGAGAGGUUGCCUCAGAUCCCAAAAUUCUUGAUGCGAUUUUAAAUGUUAACAUUGUGAUUUUCUUUUAAAAAAUUGUAAUUCUAAUAGGAAGAAAAGGGGCAAAGGGGAAAGGGAAGUGGGAGGGGUAGGGGAAAGGAAAGAAGGGAAUGGAAUUAAUAUGAGAAAAAGAAAAAAUGGAAAUAAAAUACUUUGU